rnacentral:lncRNA from 1 species
CCUUUCAGAAUUAACUCUGUCAUUCUCUUACAGCCCACCAAUAAGCAGAAGCCCGACAUACGAUAUCAACCGGCGCCAACCUCCCGGGGAGCUGUGUGCUCGUUGGCCAGGAAACGUCCCCAUUGGAUAUUCCUCAAGACGAACAUAGUUUUGGCACGCCCAUUGGGACUCACUUUUUCAAUCUCGCAUGUCAAUGAAGAAAAGCCAUAAACCUUGCAGAAAGAGUACAAAGUACGAAUCAUCUCAACCUUCGCUACAAAUGACAGAGCAAUCAGGAAAUCGUUCUUCUCCAUCAGGACAAGUGGACCUGGAAAGCUGAUAGGAGCAUAUUUAUGCAACUUAGUUAGCUUGUUUCUUGGCAUUUACUUAGUUUAAUUCUAGUUAGUUUAGUACUUUAAGCUAUUUUCGUGUGUUUGUAAGUUCAAAUAACAAAGUUAGCAACAAAGUGCUAUUUGGAGCAUUUUGGAGCAUUUUUGGGCCAAGAUUGGAUAGUGCAAGCAUGGAGACAUAAGGAUGGACGUUUUUGAAGAUUUGAAGGCUAUAAAUCAG